UACAGAGGGUGCAAACGUUGCUCGGAAUUACUGGGCGUAAAGCGCGUGUAGGUGGAUUGGUGUGUCAGAUGUGAAAGCCCUGGGCUCAACCCAGGAACUGCACCUGAAACUACCAGUCUUGAGUGGUGGAGAGGGAAGUGGAAUUUCAGGUGUAGCGGUGAAAUGCGUAGAUAUCUGAAGGAACAUCAGUGGCGAAAGCGGUGCUCUGGGCCGGUACUGACGCUGAGGAGCGAAAGCAUGGGGAGCGAACAGG
rnacentral:rRNA from 1 species